rnacentral:rRNA from 1 species
UACAGAGGGGGCAAGCGUUGUUCGGAAUUACUGGGCGUAAAGGGCGCGUAGGCGGCCUUCUAAGUCGAACGUGAAAUCCCCGGGCUCAACCCGGGAACUGCGUCCGAUACUGGAAGGCUUGAAUCCGGGAGAGGGAUGCGGAAUUCCAGGCGUAGCGGUGAAAUGCGUAGAUAUCUGGAGGAACACCGGUGGCGAAGGCGGCAUCCUGGACCAACACUGACACUGAUGAGCGAAAGCCAGGGGAGCAAACGGG